rnacentral:rRNA from 1 species
GUGCCAGCAGCCGCGGUAAUACGAGGGGGGCAAGCGUUGUUCGGAAUUAUUGGGCGUAAAGGGCGCGUAGGCGGUUUGGCAAGUCUAGUGUGAAAUCUUCGGGCUCAACUCGAAGUCUGCACUGGAAACUGCCGGGCUUGAGUAUGGGAGAGGUGAGUGGAAUUUCCGGUGUAGCGGUGAAAUGCGUAGAUAUCAGGAGGAACACCUGCGGUGUAGACGGCUUACUGGACCAUCACUGACGCUGAGGCACGAAAGCGUGGGUAGCAAACAGGAUUAGAUACCCCGGUAGUCC